UUUGCUUCGACGUGGAAAGGUGUCUUGUCAGAAUAGAAGAAAAAUGGUGUAUAAAACCAUUAAAAACGAUUAAAAAUGGCAUCCAAUCGAAAGAACCAACUACCUCCCAGUGACUGGAAAGGGAAACCACAGAAAUCGGAAAGGCAACAUUGAAAAAAGUGGUGGAAAGUUGACCAACGCAUCGUCGAGGCAAGUUGACGCUGAAAAUACAUUAAGGCUACUGCGGGAUGUUGGUAUUUUUUUGUUAUUGUAAAGUGAUUGGCACGAAGGACAAGACAAUGAACACUGCCCAAGAAGAAUGAAGCGGAAAGGACAAAAAAUGAAGCAUGACCUACGCAUAACAACAUAUCUAUAAACAAGAUAAGUGCUAGUGGAAAAUAUGUUAAUAAAAGCAAUAAUAAAUUAUUUAAAAAAACACUUUUUGUCCUAUGGUAUGAUGACAUAAUCCCAAUAUGCAAGAA